GUGCUUCCUUCAGCAGCACAUAAACUAAAAUUGGAAUGAUACAGAGAAGAUUAGCACAGCCCUGCACAAGGAUGACAUGCAAUUUCAUAAUUCAGAUGGUAGUACU
rnacentral:snRNA from 1 species